UAUUAACUUCAUUACAGAGUUUUCAGUGUGAGUGUGCUUAGGGAAGCCUCUACAGCAUCUAAUUUAUUGAAAUAUUUUUCCUAGUUUAAAAUAGAUCCUCACCUGUUUCCUGACAACAUGCUGUCAUCUUCAUAAUAUUCCUCUCCACUGAAAUAUUCCUGCUCUCCCAAAUAAUGAUCAUCAUUGCAAUAGUCUUGCACUUCAUGUUCUUCACGGCAAAUAGUAGGUCGACGCCCAUCACCAGUGUCAGAUCUGAGAAACCUAGAUUCCCAUACAUGAACAUGCACCAACUUCCUCAGAAAGGGACGUGUCUGCUUUGUUUUUGAGAACACUUUGGUGGAAUUCUCUCCUGUUCUCCCAGAGCACUGGUUUGCAACAGGUGUCACUCAGACAGGAUGGAGUGCCAUGCAACAGCUUGCAAGCAUAACUCAGGCUUGAGACAGAUGAGAUGAACCAGUCCAAUGGUUAUUUAGCAAACCAGUGACACACAGAGCGCUGAACAACAUAAUUACACGACAAACCCAGACAUGCCUUUAAUUAGGCUUUCCCAUAAAGGCACAAGAUGACUUCAAAUGAAGUGGUAAUUCUGUGCAGCUGUGCUCCAGGAGGCACAACAGCACCUGCAGUGUCAUCAAGAUGGCACAAGGCACCGAGACACCAGUGCUGGGUCCUAAACAGCAUCUCAAGAGACAAUGAAUGAUGCCCCUGUCUCCCACACAACACUGAAAUGACAUGUAUGUGCUUUCAAAUGCUGCAAAAACAGAACUGCAGGAGUCCCUCGGAGAGAAAAAAUGUCAUAUGGCCAAUAACUGUAUCCCUGUAUUGGUUGUUUAGAGAGAGAGAGACUCUCUAAGAGGCUUAAAAAGCACCUCACACCAAAACAUCAGAACCUUUUAAAGUUAAACAUUUAAAUAUUUUGAAAAGACUGUUUAUAAAAAAUGCCAAAUAUAUUUAAAAUCAAUUUUUCCAUGUCUAUAGUAUGCAUAAAACAGUUACACCAUUUUAGAUAUGUCUUAUAUUAAGAAAUCUGUGUAUAAUUCAAGAUGCCAAAGUCAUGACUUCUAGAAAAAUGUUUAAAUGCUUAUAAAUACUGUAACUACAAAAAGAUUGUUUUCCCUGUACCUAAACUCAGUCUACAAGCAUUGUGAGAUAUGGUCCAACCUACAUAUAGGUGCAGUUUAAGCUUAGAUUAAGAACUGCAAGCACAAAACCCUUAUUUUAAUAGUAAGAAUCAUUAUUAUCUAAACUAUUUCCAGUCACAUAAAAUACACAUGGUCCCUCUUUUGAGGCAUCUUAGAAUGAUAUCAGGAAAUGGAAAGCACUGCUAAGCUUUGCUUCACAGCCUUUAGAACAAUGAUGUAUAUUUACGUAUAUUGCUGCAUAAACUCAAUAGAUCUGGAACAAGCAUAAAUCUUUAUUCUAAAUCCUUAGGUCUUCAGAGUUUCAGAGUCCUGAAAGCCUAUGACUCUAAAAAUGUUCAAAUAAACCAUUACAUUUGUAGAUAAUGAACACGUUUUUACUAUCUGCUUAUUUUAUAGCAGAGAAAACUAAAAAGAACAUAAAAUCCCAAAGCUACUCUGACAACACAAAAAUAAAAGGAGGUUAGUACAGACAGAAUACAACACAAGAACUACUGAAAUAAGGAAAUAGGCGUGCAGAGAAAUAGCUGGAUAGACCUACACUAUAGCAGUGAACAUAAGAGACAUAGCAGGCGAGUCGUGAUUCCCCAGAGCUGUUCAUCCUCACAGAGCCCGGCUCCCAACACCGACUGCGCUGCUCCACAACUACACAAAAGCUCUGCUCUCAGUCCAACCCAGACUGCCUUCCAGCUAAGCCCUCCUGUGAACACCACAUCAGCAUGGGAGCACAAUUCAAUGGAAGUGGAGCUACAGAUUAACCCCUCAGCUGAUGCCUACUAGGGGGUUGGGUUUUUACCUUUUUCUAUUAAUGUUUACUGUGGGGUUAAUAUCAGUUAUUACAUCUGCAGAGGGAAAAAAGCAUAAUUAAUUUAAUCUGAAACAUGAUUCUAAAAAUCACGUUCAGCUCACUAAAUCAGUGCUUUUGUAUAGGAGGCAGAGGAAAUAUCUUUUAACUUUUAUUUGUGAGUAUUAACAAAACGUGCUACUUGUAAAUAAAUGCAAA